CAGUCGCCGCGGUAAUACGAAGGGUGCAAGCGUUACUCGGAUUACUGGGCGUAAAGCGUGUGUAGGUGGUUGUUUAAGUCUGUCGUGAAAGCCCUGGGCUCAACCUGGGAAUUGCGAUGGAUACUGGGCGACUAGAGUGCGGUAGAGGAUAGUGGAAUUUCCGGUGUAGCAGUGAAAUGCGUAGAGAUCGGAAGGAACAUCUGUGGCGAAGGCGACUACCUGGGCCAACACUGACACUGAGACACGAAAGCGUGGGGAGCAAACAGGAUCAGAGACCCCCGUAGUCCCUGUCUCUUAUACA
rnacentral:rRNA from 1 species